GUCCAGACUCCUACGGGAGGCAGCAGUGGGGAAUAUUGCACAAUGGGGGAAACCCUGAUGCAGCGACGCCGCGUGAGCGAUGAAGUAUUUCGGUAUGUAAAGCUCUAUCAGCAGGGAAGAAGAUGACGGUACCUGACUAAGAAGCCCCGGCUAACUACGUGCCAGCAGCCGCGGUAAUACGUAGGGGGCAAGCGUUAUCCGGAUUUACUGGGUGUAAAGGGAGCGUAGACGGCGAUGCAAGCCAGAUGUGAAAGCCCGGGGCUCAACCCCGGGACUGCAUUUGGAACUGUGUGGCUGGAGUGUCGGAGAGGCAGGCGGAAUUCCUAGUGUAGCGGUGAAAUGCGUAGAUAUUAGGAGGAACACCAGUGGCGAAGGCGGCCUGCUGGACGAUGACUGACGUUGAGGCUCGAAAGCGUGGGGAGCAAACAGGAUUAGAUCCCCUCGUA
rnacentral:rRNA from 1 species